rnacentral:rRNA from 1 species
GAUGAACGCUGGCGGCGUGCCUAACACAUGCAAGUCGAACGGGAAUCUUCGGAUUCUAGUGGCGGACGGGUGAGUAACGCGUGAGAAUCUACCCUCAGGACGGGGACAACAGUGGGAAACCGCUGCUAAUUCCCGAUGUGCCGAAAGGUGAAACAUUUAUGGCCUGAAGAAGAGCUCGCGUCCGAUUAGCCAGUUGGUGUGGUAAAAGCGCACCAAAGCGACGAUCGGUAGCUGGUCUGAGAGGACGAGCAGCCACACUGGGACUGAGACACGGCCCAGACUCCUACGGGAGGCAGCAGUGGGGAAUUUUCCGCAAUGGGCGCAAGCCUGACGGAGCAACGCCGCGUGGGGGAAGAAAGUCCUUGGAUUGUAAACCCCUUUUCUCAGGGAAGAAGCUCUGACGGUACCUGAGGAAUAAGCCUCGGCUAACUCCG